rnacentral:lncRNA from 1 species
UCAGCCUCUGUCACUGUCUGUGGAGUCCUAUUUAAUCCCUCCAAACAUCAUGUGUUCUCAAAGGGGUUUUUGCACAUGCAUCUGUCUCAGCUAACAUCACUGCCAAUCAGCCUGAGUUGGAAGCAGCAAGAAACUUCAGCACACCACCAGAAUAUUUUUGGUGCAUUUCUUCUCUCUAUGGAGUUCCAACAAAUGCAGCUUAACUACACAAAGUAAGGUAGACUAAUACAUGCGUGUUAUUAGCAAAGAAUCCUUCAUCAGGUGUCCUUUCACAUGCCUGCUUUAGCAGAACAUCCUCUCUCUCAUGUCUGCUUCAGUGAAAUGUUUGCCCCAGCAAAACACCAUCCAAAUGACUUUCCAAAGAACACUUAAGCUUCCGCUUAAUUUGUUAGUGGUGGCACAUGUUUUUUUACCUCAGCAUUUGAGAACCAGAUCAUCCAGAUGUCUGAGUUUGAGCCCAGCCUGGUUAAUAAACCUAGUUUCAUUCAGGCCAACCAGAGCUACAUGGUGAAAUCUUGCCUCAGAAGACAAAAAUAAAUGAGUAAAUAAAUAAAUAAACACAUUUAAAAAUGUGUUAGAGAAAUAGGUUGGUGUGUUCUCUACUGGAUUGACUUGUGUUUCCUGAAUUUAGACUCUCCUUAAUUCUUGAUUGAAUGACCUGGCCUGUGGGCUUCAGAGAUUCUUAACUUUUGCUAGGUUUUGAGAACUCCACUGAUAGCCUAGGGAAGGCUGCGGUUUAUUUGUAUAAUUGAAGGUAAAUAAAAGAAAGUAAAUUGGAUUAAAAGGAACCUGUUGGGCUGAGUAUUUAGUUGAUUUGGUAGAUCUCAAGAUCCUGGGUUGUAUUGGCCUGUGCCUGGAAUCCCAGCACGUGAGAGGUAGAGGCAAGAGAAUCACAAAUUCAAGGACACCCUCUGAUACCAUACAUGAGACCUGGUUUCAAAAACAAACAAAAUUAGUUCUUCCCUCUAAAAAUCCCUAAUGAAACAAAACUAUUAAAAUACAUGUGGUAAUAAAGUAUAUAUGCUUCUUUCUUAGUGUAUUUAAGAAGAUAUAGUGAGUCUAAUAUCAGCUAUAAUUAUGAAGUAGUAAAUAUUAUGAGAUUUUUAAAACAACUAUAAUGAUAUGAACAGUAAAUUGUUUUUUGUUGACAGAAAUCAUAGUUAUGAUCACUACUAUGUGGAUUGUCUAUGUCUGUAUGAAAAAGUACUGUGUUUUAGUGAAAACUGUGGUACAGAUUUUUCCUAUACAAAUUCAGAUUCCCUGACAUUCAUGGGCCACAGAUUAAUAACCUAUGCUUAUUGUCUCCUGGGUUCUCUCAACUUUAUGUAUUUUUGUCUUAGUUAUGUACUUUUCUUUACAGAUGAUAGUAAUUUUACUCUUUUCAUCUUUUUGCAAGUAAUACAUGUUUUUUUUAAAAAGAAAAAUUUGAAAUGAUACUGGAGGAUAAUUUCCUGGUUAUUUUCUUUCAUAGUAAGACUAUUAGUAUAGUAUAUAGAACUAUUAUCUAGGCAAUAUGCUUUUAUAUAACCAUUAAAACAUUUCAUAUAAAUAAAAGAAUUAUAUUACAUAUGAUGUUUUUAAUUGGAAUACCAUCACAUUAAUUUUUUUAUCUAGAGGUAUGUUUUAUGCUUUCAAAUGUUUAUGUGCUACAUUAAGUGCUAAAUUCCUAUUUUAAAGUGUAUCUCAAUGAUUUUAGCAUAUCUACAUUAUUGUGACUAUAUCACCUAUGUGUAGAAUAUCCAUCAGUCCUUAAAAAAAACCUGAUAUGGAAUAUUAUCUCUAUUUCCCCUUUCUGCUGGGAGCUAUCAGCUAUUUGCUGGUUGUUUUGUUGUUUAAAACAUUUUUUUUUUCCCCCAGACAGGAUUUCACUAUGUAGCUCUGGCUGGCUUAGAACUCACAGAGAACUGCCUGCAUUUGCCUCCUGAGUGCUGGGAUUCAUAUUUGGGAUGUGUUUGUUUUUUUUUUUUUCGAAACAGGGUUUCUCUGUGUAGCCCUGGCUGUCCUGGAACCCACUCUGUAGACCAGGCUGGCCUCGAACUCAGAAAUCUGACUGCCUCUGCCUCCCAAGUGCUGGGAUCAAAGGCGUGCGCCACCACGCCCGGCUAAUAUUUGGGAUUUUUAAUGGACUGCCUGUUCUAGGCAUUUAAUAAAAGUAGAUCAUACAUGUGAUCUGUGUAGUAUGUAAUAUUAAAAAACAACCCAUGCUAUUGCAGGCUACUCUCUAGCCUCCAUGGCUAGCCCCUUGUCGUGGCUAGCCCCAUGUGGCGGCCACCCAGCUAGUGGUUCACUUGCUGAGGAACCUGCUCACAUUCCCAGCCAUCUGCCCCUUGUGGUUAGCAGUC